rnacentral:tRNA from 1 species
AAUGACGUGCUUGACAAAUAAGGCAACCUUGAUAGGGUUGAACAUGAGAAAUCCUCCGUCAUUU